CGAACGGGUGAGGAACACGUGAAGAAUCUGCCCUCCACUUUGGGAUAACACCGGGAAACCGGUGCUAAUACCGAAUAUUGAAACAUAAGUGGCAUCACUGAGUUUUGAAAGAAUUUCGGUGGAGGAUGACUUCGCGGCCUAUCAGCUUGUUGGUGAGGUAAUGGCUCACCAAGGCAACGACGGGUAGCCGGCCUGAGAGGGUGACCCCCCACACUGGUACUGAGACACGGACCAGACUCC
rnacentral:rRNA from 1 species